rnacentral:lncRNA from 1 species
ACCUCACGAUAGCCCAGGGCAGCAUUCCCUUCUCUAGAGACCACCCAGCUGAGUUACCUACCCUGUUCUCCUUGGGAUCCUCCAUCUUGCCAGGACCCUGGAUGGCUCCCCUACUAGAGCCUUGGGAAGCCCCAUUCUCUCUACUCAGUGAUGUCACAGUCCCUGGCUGACAUCACAGCACAGCCCAGAGCUGGUGCUAGUGUGAGGGCCACAGGUUGGCAGGAUCCCCCCUGGGGCUGGGCAAGCACAGGGCUGUACACUGUACCUUGCACCCUGUUCCUUGCCACCCUAGAAGUGCCAGGCCCAGGACUAAAAGCAGCUUUCGUGGAAGAUGGGGAUGGCCAGGACACACCUCCCAGACCAGCCAGUCACAGGUGGGGCUCCUGCACCUCGAUGGGAGUCAGUCACCCAGGUGCCACCAGACAAGCCCCAGCAGGCCCGGGAGACGCCUCGACAUCCUGGAGAGGGGCGUCCCGGAGAGAGGAGCGGGGUAGUCAAAUAAUCCUUCCAGAAGUGUAACUGUGGUGAACAUUCAUGAAGAGCUUUGGUGCACUGAUUUUACAUUAACUUUCCUCUUUUCGUUCCUGGGGACUGAACCUAGGACCUCUUGUUUUACUACAGACUAUACCUUCAGGCCCACACUACUUUUAAUAACGGAACCAGUAAAGACAUAAAAAUUCAAGGUAUACAGAUUAUUUUUUACAAAAGCCAAAAUGAAUGUGAAACUUUAAAAUUUUAAGGGAGUACCACACCAGCAGGAACCCCAAAGCCCCAGAGCACAGAGGGGGCUGUGCCCAGGGCCAGGCCUGACCUCAGCAGGGCUCACACAAGCCAGAUCCAAA